GUUUUCUUUCUUUACUUUAACAACCAUAACAGCACAAUUAAGACAAGGAAUAAGGAAGUGAACAUAUGCGGAGAGAGCUAGCAGCUGACUGAACUAUGUCCACAAAUUGUUAUCUGGCACUUGCUGAUAUCCACUAAUGUUGCAAUAAGCAGAACAUAUACAAACCCAACAUUGGACACCCACUUUUCUCAACCCACUUAAAUUCAGGUAUUACAUAGAUCAUAGAUGUUAGACUUGGAGGAGCAGCACCAAUAUUAUAUAGAUGCUAACUGCAGUUUCAGUUCAUGUUAGUAGAAGGUUAUUAGUUUAUUCUGAGUAUCAGAUAAAUCCUAUGACAUAACGACUUACAAACCAGAUUUGAUAGAUAAAAUAUAGAAUUUUAGUUAUCAUGCCAAGAACACUGGUUUACGAAAUGAGAGCUUGGUUUCGUGUGGUAUCAAAUUCAUGUCAUGUGUUAAUACUUAGAGGUCAACUGUUGUGGUGCAAAAAAAUUACAACAAUAAUAGAGGAGGCAUCAGCAUUCUUAUAAUAGACAUUGCAUGCAAUUAAAAAUUAAAAACUACAGAAAUCUAAAAAUUUUAUUGUAAAUGGCAUACCUCAUAUGUCAAAGUACCCCCAG
rnacentral:misc_RNA from 1 species